rnacentral:rRNA from 1 species
UGAGGAAUAUUGCACAAUGGGGGAAACCCUGAUGCAGCAACGCCGCGUGAAGGAUGAAGGCUUUCGAGUUGUAAACUUCUUUUCUGGGGGAAGAGGAAGGACGGUACCCCAGGAAUAAGACACGGCUAACUACGUGCCAGCAGCCGCGGUAAUACGUAGGUGUCGAGCGUUAUCCGGAAUUACUGGGCGUAAAGGGCACGCAGGCGGCUGUUCAAGUUCGGCGUGAAAGCUCCCGGCUAAACUGGGAGAGGCCGUUGAAAACUGAGCAGCUUGAGGCAAUGAGAGGGAUGCGGAAUUCCCGGUGUAGUGGUGGAAUGCGUAGAUAUCGGGAAGAACACCGAGUGGCGAAAGCGGCAUCCUGGCAUUGAACUGACGCUGAGGUGCGAAAGCGUGGGUAGCGAA